rnacentral:rRNA from 1 species
AGUGAACGCUGGCGGUAGGCCUAACACAUGCAAGUCGAACGGCAGCACAGUAAGAGCUUGCUCUUACGGGUGGCGAGUGGCGGACGGGUGAGGAAUACAUCGGAAUCUACUUUUUCGUGGGGGAUAACGUAGGGAAACUUACGCUAAUACCGCAUACGACCUACGGGUGAAAGCAGGGGAUCUUCGGACCUUGCGCGAUUGAAUGAGCCGAUGUCGGAUUAGCUAGUUGGCGGGGUAAAGGCCCACCAAGGCGACGAUCCGUAGCUGGUCUGAGAGGAUGAUCGGCCACACGAGAACUGAGACACGGUCCAGACUCCUACGGGAGGCAGCAGUGGGGAAUAUUGGACAAUGGGCGGAAGCCUGAUCCAGCCAUACCGCGUGGGUGAAGAAGGCCUUCGGGUUGUAAAGCCCUUUUGUUGGGAAAGAAAAGCAGCAGGUUAAUACCCCGCUGUUCUGACGGUACCCAAAGAAUAAGCACCGGCUAACUUCGUG